UGUCCGGCCCUCCCCAAGUUCUCGAUGUAAUGGAAGUUACUUUGGUUUUGAAAAGGAACAUGCUGUUCUUUCUGAGUGUUUGCAUUCAACACAAGAGGAAUCCAGAAGUGAUGCACAGAGAACAAACUCUGUCCCCAUCCCAUUCCCAGGGUGGCUGUUGCACCACGCCCUCCCUCCUGCCCCUGAGGCCCGGAAGCCAGGCGAGGAGCCCAGGAGGCCUUUGGAUCGCAGCCCACCUUUGGGACAGGUGCAGCCCCAUUUUACAUCUCAGGACGCCAAGAGUGCCGAGGAUGAGGCUCCUUCCAGACACUUGGGAAAGCACCAGCCCCGCUCAGCACAGGUGGGCAGCAGACUUGACGCCCUGCAAGGCCCGAAGACACAACACAGCAUCCACACGGUGACCUGUAAAUCACCUCGGCAGAAAGAAGACAGGUCCCCAAAGCCACCCCAGGCUCCCCAGCACCCUGAGGAGCAUGGUCGCCAAUCCCACAGCUCCUCCUCCUUUGCCAGUGGCACCCUCCAGGACAUGUGGAGGUUGCUAGACCUGGGAUCCAGCCCUUCUGGUGUCACCUCCCAGGGU
rnacentral:lncRNA from 1 species